UACGUAGGGGCCAAGCGUUUGUCCGGAUUUAUUGGGCGUAAAGAGCUCGUAGGCGGUUGGGUAAGUCGGGUGUGAAAACUCCAGGCUCAACUUGGAGAUCGCCACCCGAUACUGCUCUGACUUGAGUUGCGGGUAGGGGAGUGGGGAAUUCCUGGUGUAGCGGUGAAAUGCGCAGAUAUCAGGAGGAACACCGGUGGCGAAGGCGCCACUCGUGGGCGAAACUGACGCUGAGGAGCGAAAGCGUGGGGGAGCGAAACAGG
rnacentral:rRNA from 1 species